rnacentral:rRNA from 1 species
GAUUAGAUACCGUCGUAGUCUUAACUAUAAACUAUGCCGACCAGGGAUAUGAGUUGUUAUGAAUAAUUUUUAAUUAUUCAAUUUCCUCUUGUGGACCUUGUGAGAAAUCAUAAGUUUUUGGGUUCUGGGGGGAGUAUGGUCGCAAGGCUGAAACUUAAAGGAAUUGACGGAGGGGCACCACCAGGAGUGGAGCGUGCGGCUUAAUUUGACUCAACACGGGAAAACUUACCAGGUCCAGACAUUAGAAGGAUUGACAGAUUGAUAGCUCUUUCAUGAUUUAAUGGGUGGUGGUGCAUGGCCGUUCUUAGUUGGUGGAGUGAUUUGUCUGGUUAAUUCCGAUAACGAACGAGACCUUUACCAUACUAAAUAGUUUGAUUUAUUCAUUUAUGAAUAGAUUUAUUUAUAUAAACUUCUUAGAGGGACUAUUGGUUCUUAAACCAAAGGAAGUAAAGGCGAUAACAGGUCUGUGAUGCCCUUAGAUGUUCUGGGCUGCACGCGCGCUACAAUGAUAAACUCAACGAGUAUUUAAUAUUUAUUUAUUAUAUUGCUGUAUUGGAAAGUAUGGCUAAUCUUAAACGUUUAUCGUGCUUGGGAUAGAUGAUUGCAAUUAUUUAUCUUGAACCAGGAAUUCCUAGUAAUCGUAUAUCAUCAGUGUGCGAUGAUUACGUCCCUGCCCCUUGUACACACCGCCCGUCGCUGCUACCGAUUGGAUGAUCCGGUGAAAUCCUCGGAUAAUGAUAAAUACUUUACUUUGUAAAGUUUAUCGUUAGAAGUUGAUUAAACCUUAUCGUCUAGAGGAAGCAAAAGUCGUAACAAGGUUUCCGUAGGUGAACCUGCAGAAGGAUCA